AUGGGAUCCAGGCUCCUCUGCUGUGUGGCCCUUUGUCUCCUAGGAGCUGGCCUCGUGGGUUCUGGAGUCACACAAAGACCAAAACACCAGAUCAAAGCAAAGGGACAACGAGUGACACUGAGAUGCUACCCUAUGUCUGGACACCUCUAUGUGUAUUGGUACCAACAGAGCCUGGGCCAGGCCCUCCAGUUCCUCAUUCAAUUUUAUAAUGGGAAAGAGAGAGAGAAAGGAAACUUCCCUGAUCGAUUCUCUGCACAGCAGUUCCGUGACUAUCGCUCUGAACUCAACCUGAGCUCCUUGGAGUUGGAGGACUCUGCCCUGUAUUUCUGUGCCAGCAGCUCAGCACAGCCCUGUGUGAUCAUCAGCCUUCUGUGCAAUAACAUUCCUGCCCCCCCUCAGGAAGUGAGAGUGAGGGACUGUCACAAGUUCUCAGGCCCAG